rnacentral:rRNA from 1 species
UUGCCAGCCGCCGCGGUAAUACGUAGGUGGCAAGCGUUGUCCGGAAUUAUUGGGCGUAAAGGGCGUGUAGGUGGAUUCUUAAGUCGUGUGUCUAAGUGCGGGGCUCAACCCCGUAUGGGCGCAGGAAACUGGGGAUCUUGAGUGCAGGAGAGGAAAGUGGAAUUCCCAGUGUAGCGGUGAAAUGCGUAGAUAUUGGGAGGAACACCAGUGGCGAAGGCGAUUUUCUGGACUGUGUCUGACACUGAGGCGCGAAAGCUAGGGGAGCGAA